UCGAUAAAAUCAUACAAUAAUAGCAAUGACACCUACAAGUAUAUUACUUCUUUGCAUGGGUUAAUCAGAGGUAUAAUUGUUGUAAGCUGAAUCUCUUAUGAAAGUUUUUCAAACCCACAUGCAGCACAACAGUAGACAGAUCCAUCUAUAUAUAUUCUGCUACUGGAACAAAACAUUCCUCCAAAAAAUAUAUAUGAAAGAACGUUUUUCACAUAUCUAUCUAUACAUACAAAUCCUAAAGAAAUGAUCGAUGGGAGAAGAAAAAUGAUGAGAGCUGCAUCAUAACGAGGAGCUGAUCAAUAGAAAACCAAGUAGACUGGCGAGGAGCCUCUUCGUCGAAGAUGAUGAUGACCAAUGAGCAAACUGAUGAUCACAGUGAAAGGGAGCGAUAUGAUGCAGACGAUGGCAUUGGCUCGUUUGGCUCGCGAGCUAAAAGUCUGGCUCGACUUGUUACAUUUUGGAAGGAGCUGAGUCGAGCCGAACCAGAGCCAGACACGAGCUGAGCUACCACAUGAGCUUUGAGAUUUUCGUCCCGCCCUAAGCACAUAAGCAAGGUAAGUAUCUAUGCAUACUUCUCCUAUAUUUUGGUGAAUUAUUGAUUUUUAAUUUUUGCUUGUUAUUGUUAGUGUCGUAUAUGCAUGUUAAGUGAGCUGGUGCUAGGAAUCGGGUAGAAGCUAUUUUGUUGCAUUUAUCCCUACCUUGAUAUAUUGUUGAUCUCCCACUAUAAUAGAAACAGUCAUUUGAGUUGAGUCAUCAGUGCCGGUUAGGAUAGAAUCGGCACUAAUGAAGUAUCAAUGUCGGUUCAUACCUUCUCGUGCUCGAUCAUCAAUUGAGCUGGGUUGAGCCAGUAAUGAUACUAAGUAUUAGUGCUGGCUCUUGGAAUAAACCAGAACUGACACUUUAGUGCUGGCUGUUAACCAUAGUCGACACUGAUACUAAGUAUUAGUGCCGGUUCGUAUUAUGAGCCGGCACUAAUAAGUGUACAGUCUAUAAAAGAUGCCUUCUUCUCCCCAAGCGCGAACAAAAUAGAGAGGAGCUAUGGUCUGCUUGGCUCCCGCCAUUUGUGCCCAACCUUGCGCUGGGAGAUUUCAAAAUUUGGAGGAAUCUACGUGACCAAGUUGGUUAGUAAGAUAAUCUAUAUUUUAUUUUUACUUAAAUUUAUUUGCUAGAUUACUCUAGGUUUGAAAGUAUGUGAUUGCUCCAAGUGAUGAAUUUUGGGGGGACCUACAACUCCAAUUGAGCCCUAAUUGAGUAAGAAUUACAAUUUUCUCAUUGUAGGAAACAUAGAGAUGAUCUAUGACUUUUCAUUUGUAGCUAGAUUUUUUGCUCGAUUGCUCUAAAUUUGAAAGUAUGUGAUUAUGCUAUGGUGACCUGGAUCUCCAAUUUUUUUAGUAGUGAUUUAAGAAAAAUAUAUUAACAUCACCUCUAAAUAGAUUAAAACCUAGCUCCAGUUUUCUAGUAGUGAAUUAGUAAAAAAAGAUUAAAAUCACCUCUAAAUAGAUCAUGGUGGGGAGAAGAGUAAGGAUAAAAGACCCCCCGCUAAGAUGGUUUGAUGUUUCCCUAUAAUCUCCCAUUUAAAGCGAUUGUUUGCUAACAAAGUGAAUACUGAGUUAAUGCAAUGGCAUGCCGAAGGGCCCAAGAAAGACAUAAUGCUUAGACAUUAUGCUAAUGGAAUGCAAUGGAGGAACUUUGAUACAAAAUAUAGGGAAUGCAAAGCCAAAAUGAGGAAUAUAAGGUUCGAGUUGAGUACGGAUGGGAUGAAUCCUUUCAGCAACAUUAGCAAUUGUCAUAGCACUUGGCCCGUGACUCUCUGUAUCUACAACCUUCCAUCUUAGCUGUGUAUGAAGCAGAAGUUCCUUAUGAUGCCUUUGUUGAUCAAUGGGCUGAAUCAAACUGGCAACGAUAUCGAUGUGUAUCUCCAACCAUUACUUGAAGAUCUCCUUAUACUAUGGAAAGAUAGCGUACGGGUGUGGGAUGAAUACAAACAUGAGCAUUUCACCCUACGCGCAAUGCUAUUCGUAACGAUCCAAGAUUGGCCUCCUCUUGCUAACCUGUCAGAACAAACUUUAAAAGGUUACAAUGGUGCUACAAUGGUGUGUAUGGUUCUUGGAUGAAACAAGGGAUUGUGGCUAAAGAACUAUAAGAAAAUGAUCUACAUGGAUCACCAUAAGUUUCUACACCCGUAUCACCCAUACCAUAGGAAUAAAAGAGGUCUUGAUGGGAUAGUGGAGACUCGUCUAGCUCUGAAGUUUCAAACUAGGGAAUAUGUAUAUAAGAUGGUAAAGAAUCUUAGAGUUGUCCUUGGAAAGGGGAAAGACAAUACAAAAUUCCUAGCUAGAAAACUCGCUCCUAUGUUUAGAAAGAGAUCAAUUUUUUGGAACCUAUCUUAUUGGAAUCACUUGAUGGUCCGACACGCAAUCAACGUAAUGCAUAUGGAGAAGAACAUGUUUAAUAUGUUGAUUGGUACCUUACUAGACAUACCUGGCAAGACAAAAGAUACACUCAAUGCCCGGUUGGAUCUGGAAGAUAUGAAGGUAAGGAAAAUUCUGCAUCCUAAAAUCCUAGGCAGUGGGGCAAAUGAACUUCCCACAACUUGCUACACCCUGAAGAAGGAAGAGAAGAUCAAACUGUGCAGUUGCUUGCAUGGAUCAAAGUUCCGACCGGUUACUUCUCCAAUGUAAAGAGAUUAGUAAACAUGAAAACUUUGAAGUUAGUUAGCAUGAAGUCUCAUGAUUGUUACAGGAUGAUGAUAUAGUUUCUUGCUGUUGCAAUUAGAGGUAUUCUACAGGAUAAGGUCUGAGGUCUAAUCAUAAAGUUGUGUUCAUUUUUCAAUGUAAUUUCAUAGAAGGUCAUUGAUCCAAGCAAAGUAACAAAGUUGCAGGAAGAUAUGGUCCAUACUGUAUGCCAGCUUGAAAGUAUUUUCCCUCUAUCAUUUUUGACAUAAUGCCCCAUCCCAUUGUUCACAUCGUGCAUGAGAUAAAGUACCUUGGCCCCAUUUUUCUACAUCAGAUGUAUCCUUUCAAAAGGUUCAUGUCAGUUCUGAAGAAAUAUGUUCGUAACCAAGGUCGACCGGAAGGUUGCAUUACCCAAGGCUAGGGAACAAAGGAUGUCAUUGAGUUCACUGUUGACUACAUGGAUUUGAAAGCAAUUGGUAAUCAUGUAUCUCACCAUGAGGGAAGGCUAAAGGGGACAGAGACGCUAGGUCAUAGUAUAGUCUGUUCCAACGAUUAUGUUUAAUUCACCCACACACAUUUUAUAGUUUUGCAACAAUCAAUUAUAGUAGACCCGUAUGUCAAUAUGCACAUGCAAAUGCUACGGUCCACAAAUCCUACAAAGUCAAAGGAUUAGAUUGCAAGAGAGUAUAGAAAUAAUUUCAGUAGUUGGUUACAUAGACACAUGAUGGAUAAAGAUACAUAUGAUGCAUUGUUGGAAAUGUUGGCUAAUGGUCUGUCAACUACGAUUCAUAUAUACAAAGCAUACGGCAUAACGGCUACACAUUUUAUAUGAGAACACAAGACGACAAGAGCACUAACCAAAGUAGCAGUGUCUGUAUUGAUGCCUACGACUGCGAUGGCAACAUGACGACCUACUAUGGAUUCAUAGUGGAGAUUUAAGAAUUUCAAUACGGAGAACAGUUGAAGAUCCCCCUCGAUCGGUGCCAAUGGGUCAAAUUCCCAGGUGGAGUGAAAACCGACAGUACGGUAUGACUACCGUCAACCUCAAAUUCGUCAGAUACAGAGAAGAACCAUUUGUGCUUGCCAAAGAUGAAACUCAAGUCUUCUAUGUAAAGGACACGGACCAGUUAACAAGAAGGAGCGCCAUGUGGUUCUUGAAGGAAAAAAAAAAAAGAAUGACGUUGUUGAGGAUGUCGUCGACGAGGAAGACUACAAUCAAUUCGAUUACCUGCCUCCUUUCAAAGUGACCUGUCUCUCAUUGAUGAUACUGAGGAACCUACCUAUGUACACCGCGAUCAUAACAAAGCUAUAAUCGUUAAAUGAAAUCAGCUUUGAUGUAAUAAUUAAUUUAGGAUUCGCUGUAAUUUGUAUCAAGGAUAUGUAUUAAGUAAGAAUAUGCUUUAUUUUGUACUAAGUAAAAAGUUUGCAUAUGUCAUUUAUGCUUUAAUUAGUACAAAUAAAGCUAUUAUAUUAUAGUUAUAGAUCUAAUUUGUAUCUACUAAGAAUAUACCUUAAUUUCUAUUAAGUAAAAAGAUUUAAUUUUUAUUAAACAUAUAAAUUUCCUUAUGUAACAAAGAUGUACUACACAAAUUAUAAACCUAAUAUAUAAUAAAUUACAGAACUAAAUAUAAAACAAAAUGUUUUUCAAAAAAAGGAAAACAAUAUCAGUGCUGGUUAUAGGAAAAAAGCGGCACUAAUAUCCCUAGCAUCAGUGCUGGCUUAGUUGUAAAACCGGCACUGAUACUGGUAUCAGUCCUGGUUGUAGACUAUAGUCGGCACAAGAUACUCUACACACCAGAUGGUCCGACGUGCAGACCGGAUGCAUCGAGGUGACAACACACACUGGAUGGUCAGGUGUCUAAAAUUUUCUACACACCAGAUGCUUUGCGGUUUACAAUGGUUGUGGACGGCACACACCAUAUGGUCCGACGUUUAGAAUUUAUGCAUGCUGGAUCAUCUGGCGUUCACUGCCUCCCUAACGUCGUAUCAGUGCCAACCUGAUUUCAUAAGCGGCACUGAUAGUCAGUGCAUCAGUGUCAGCUAGGUUAUGCAACUGGCUUGAUAGUCCAUGCAUUAGUGCUAGCUGGAUUCUACAACCGACAUUGAUGCUAGUAUUAGUGUUGAUUGUAAACCACAACCAGUACUGAUACUCUAUCACUAUAUAUAUUAGGACUUAGCCGUAGCCUCUCGAUCCCUUGCGCGUCUGCCAAUUCCACUACCUCCCGAUGCCGCCAGCCUCGGAGCCCACUGUCUCCCCAACAUUGCUAUUCCCGGAGCCUUCCCCGUUGCUAUCCCUGGAGCCCUGUCAUCCCCAUCCCCGUCACCGUCCCUGGAGCCUUGUCAUCCUCGUCCCCGUCGUCGUCCCCGUUCACCAUCCUUGUCACGGUUCCCAAAGCCUCACCGUCGCCGUCCCCAUCAUUGUCCAUAGUCCUCAUCCCCGUCGCCAUCCCCAAAGCCAAUGCCUAGCCCUCUGAUGACCUCGAGCUGCCCCACACAGCAGAGGACCUCGACACCACCGUCCAACACCACAGACAAGAUCUAGCGCACAAGGACGGUAAAAUGGUUGUGCACUACAUGGUGGUUGUUUGGCAGCGUUUGGUAGCUUCAACUCCUCAAGUUCUAGACAGUGACUCGAGUUCUUACAACAAUUUGGUGAGUGGUGACCACUGACAGUUGCAUGGUAGCUUCUACCUCUAUAGAUGAGACGCAACUACUCUGGAAUGUGUUUGGAACAUCUGAUUGUGCAUAUGUAUCAUUGCUAGCAGACAAGAUCUUGAGUGUAGUUCAUUUUUUUUUCAAUCAGACAACUAUUCUUGCGAGUGUUCACAUAUUGUUGACCUUUAGUGUGUACUUGGGUUUUCUAGUGUGGCGUCGCUUGAUUCUCCCUCGUACUUUAGUAACUUUAGUGGCAGUUUUACACAAUUCUAUGAAAUGAUGUAAAUUGAGAUGAGUAAUUCAUUGGAGCAAAUGUUAAUCAUAUAACUUCA